UGUUAUUUACUCCGUAGUUGCUUGACGUACCUACCUACAGUGGCGUGCAUUGGUAUACACGCAAAAAUGCCCUGCCUACCCUGAUGACUCAUUCUCUUCGCGUCGUGUUCCUCAUUACUGAGGGUCGUGACCCCUCACACACAUUCACGACUUUUGUCCGCACGACAUCGCGCCAUGCGGCUCGGCUUUUCGCGACUUGUAGAGCUUCGUGUACUUUUGUAUCGAGAGUGUUGCGGAUUUGAUCUGACCAACGCAUCGGGCUAUGUUCUCGAUACUACUUUGCCAGUGAUAAGAUGAUUUACGAACCUGUAAAUGCAGAAUAUUAAAAUUUUGUACAAUUUCUACGUAAAGAGCCUACCCUCAUUAACAAGCGAUAGUAUAUUUCGACGGAUAUUCCACAAUAACACUUUUAAGUCAUUUAAAUUUUUACAACAAAUAAUGGCUAAUUUUUGAAGUGAUUUUAACCAAUACAGCAUUAAUCCUUAUCCAAUGAAAUACCUUAAAUACAUAAUUGAUUUAAUAUUGAUUUAUAUGUCAUAUGAUUGAAAUGGAUAUUUUCGAAGUCAUUACAGAUUUAAAACUAUACUCCAAUGUGGGUUGGUGGCCUACCUAACGGUGGAAUUCAUAGUCGUAGUAGGGGGCCCCUAAGGGGAUUAUUCAGCCGCUAUGUGUCGAAUUCAACCCCUACGCGUUUCAUAGACAAAAGAAACCCCUCAUUUGACAGGAGCUGGCGGCUGACUGCUGAAUUACCGAUAUUUGUCAGCCAAACCAUCCCCUGGCAUUUUUUUUUGUUGUUAUUCGUGAUUUAUUUAUUAGAAAGUGGACGUUCGGAUCGUUAUAAGUGAAGUUAUAAACAGCGAGUUAUAUCAGUGCCCAAGAUAUAUAUUCGCAAUUGCGUAAACCCAGUAUAAUACUAUGGCGAUAUGGAAUGUACGAAAGAUUCUCAUAUUAGGCAUAAUAUGCCUCUGUUUGAUGAAGAAUGAACACAGAAGACCAAGAGAGGAAUACCAAUACCGCUAGUAUUAUACAUUCUAGCAGCACUUCGAUUCUAUGAAACGGGAUGUUAUCAGACUGUAGGUGCAGUCCAUCAAGCAUUCUAUGAAAUAACAGAAAUGCCAAAAGUCAAGCUGUAUUGAUGUCACGCAUAGGUAUACAUAUAAACAACCCCGGAGGGCCCUAUACACAGAUUUAAAGAAACUGGCUAUCAUGGCAGGGAAUAGCAGUGAUGAGCUCUGAGAAUACUGUUUUACCAAGAAUACUGAGAAUACUUUGGUCCUUGAAAAUCUGAGUUUUCAGAUCACAGUAAUUGGAAGACCCUCAUACCUUGAAAAGUCAGCAGCAUUUAAUAUCGAAGUAGUAGGAGUGAGUGCAGUGUAUUGUAAGGUGGUCACUCACUCUGAAGUCCAUAACAAUAGAAAAUAUAUACAAAUCUUAAUUGAAUGAAUGAUGGAAAAUAAAAAUUUAUUGAUCCACAUCUUUAAUAAAGAUAAUUAUUAAAUGUUUACUUCUGCAUUUUUCAUUUAAGUCUGGCCCUAUAAAAAUAUACAAUAAUAACAAUAAGUUAUAUGUAAAUUAUGUAUUUAUUGUUGUUAUUAAUUAAACUUUGUAUCAAAACGAUAUAGGUUUGAUUUUAGAAUUGCAAAGUGUGUGUGGUUCAUUAUUAUCAGCCCAUUACUAGGCCAAGCUUACCUACUAAAUACAUAUAUAAUAUUAUGUGAUCUAAAGCUUUGUGUAAUGCAAUUUUACCACUAUUCCUAAGGAUAAGCUACACUUAUAUUUAUUUACUGCACUUACUAUAAAUUGUAUAAAAAUACAGCAUAAUAGUACCUACUUGUAAUUAUUUCAGGUGAUUUUGAGUAAAAUAAACAAAUUUCUGCUGUCAAUAUUUUUUUUAUUUCAAGUAGGAUUCCACAUUACAAAAGUAUGAAAUAUCAAACUACUUAUAUAGUAAAUAGUAUGCUUGGGAUUUCUCUGCGUGAUCGAAUCACAAAUGAGGAGAUCCGCAGACAAACCAAAGUCACUGACAUAGGUAGCACAGCGAGUCGUGAAGCUGAAGUGGCAAUGGGCAGGCCACAUAAUUCGAAGAGCCGAUGAAAUCGCAGUGUUGGUCAAACCCCCACUAGGUGGACCGAGGGCAUCAAGCGGGUUGCAAGGAGCCGCUGGACGCUGGCGGCUCGAGACCGUUGUGUUUGAAAGUCCAUGCAAGACGGCUAUGUCCAGCAGUGGACGUCCAUCGGCUGAUAAUUUUGAUUAUGAUAAUGUUCGUCCACAUAUCUUCAAUAUUUUUCUAACAACUCCUUCUUGUGAGAAAGAAACUUUUUGAUAAAAUUGAUCUAUUGUACUCUUGAACGAAUUAAAUUUUACUAUGAUAAAUAAAAACAAAAAGUAAA